GUUCCAAUUAUAUGUCCCCUUUUGAAAGCAUUGCUAAUAUAAAAAUAGGAGUGUUCGAACCUGCUUCUGCUUCUGCCGUUUGGUGACCGCGAUCAUUUCAGAUUGUUCUGCCACUUUUGGUCAAAUAUGGUUUGCGCAUACGCUAAUUUACAAGGAAUUCAUAAAAUUAAAAAUUUAUCACAAAAACAGUCAAGUGGUGCUGUACAAGAAAAAUAAUGUGCUAGUAAAACAAGCUGAUAUAAAUUAAUCAGUUAAUUGAGUCUUGAAUGAUUUCAGACUCUUCGACAUGACAGAAUAUAACUCUAUGGGCGAACGAACUCAGAGCGAACGGACCUAGCGCGAACAUGUUUUUAGGGCGAACGGUCCCGAUACCUUACACUACAAACCAUUAAAGUCUAAAAUGGCCUAUGUCUGUACUCGAC
rnacentral:lncRNA from 1 species